UACGUUUCGUUUAAGAAUAUCGACAUGUAAAAGUAAAUAUGCUUAAACUUUAAGUUUAAGUAUGUUUUUGUUAUUUUAAAUAUGUCAUAAAUAUUAAUUCUUUAUUUUAAUCAAAAUAAAAGAUUGUUUACAGUUUUAUUAUUGCAAAAUAACAAAAUCAUUUACAUUAAACUUCCGACGUUGUAAUGUUGGCCCGACAUUAAUGAACCGUCAAUGUUGCUACGUAAACUUAUGUUGAAACAUUUUUUAAUUAAAAAAAAUAUUUAUUUAUUUUAAUUUUUAUUUAUUCAUUUUUAAUUAUUUAACCCUUAUGUAGAUUUUCAAAACUGUGGAAUAUAACUUAGAUUUUUUUUCACUAAAACUGUCGACUAAUACUGUAGUACAAUUACAUCGGGAUCGAAGUCGAGCUCGAAAUGCAAUUAAUUUAAACAACACACCGCGCCGAAAUUCAAGUUUUUUUUAGGUUCCACGCAGCCAUGUUGAACUUGAUCAUGAUGUUGUACAGAAGCUAAGUGCGAAAGAGGGUGUCGCGAAAAGGAGAAGUAUGAUUAGCUUUGGAUGGAACUUCUGUUUUGACAGAAGAUGAAGACAUUUUACGACCCUGUACUGCGGUAGGAACAAUGUACAAAAUUUUAUCAUGUGUCCUUGAAUGAAUGAUUAUCUUCUGCUACUGACAAUGCUACUGUUCCUUAGUCUGGGCACUACACAUAAAUUGCCUGACCGUAAAAACGUUUGAGCAAGCACUAUUUAAAUUUUGCAAUUAUUAUCUUUUAAACAUCUCUCAUAAAGAUGGAUUUUAACCAGAAUUUCCUCGUUUGGGAUUGGUUCAGGAAUUUUAGUGUUCCUCUGUUCAGCAUUUACAAAUUGCAGUGGACUGUGCCUGAGACGAUUCCCCACAGCGCCGGCGUAUAUAGUCAGCUUGUGAAAAUGGAAUCCGAAUACUCACAAGAAGGACAAAACCAGUAUGAAAAUUAGCACAAAGAAAUUGUGCCAGAAAUGUUUGAAGUAUCUAUUGGAAUGAUCUGACAACAUCGAACUUGCUGAGCCUUCCUUCUUAAAGUGACAUGACCAGAUAUUUGGCUACCCAGUUUGAGAUACGAACUAAUCAUUUGUUGUACGACUUGUUGUGUAUGAGAUUGCCACAUUUACUGGAACUUUAAACCCCAGCUAUCUACAGUUAUCUUUCUGCUAAAUGAAAUAAAAUAUUGUGGAGGAACACAGAGAAAAGGGCACCUCAACAUGUUCAAGGUCAAGCAGCUUUUUACCAUAUCCAUAGUAUCUUGCUGCUAAAUGAAAGAAUUAUUGUGGAGGAACAGAGAAAAGGGAUCUCAACAUGUUCAAGGUCAAGCAGG